rnacentral:rRNA from 1 species
UACGAAGGGGGCUAGCGUUGUUCGGAAUCACUGGGCGUAAAGGGCGCGUAGGCGGCUUGAUAAGUCGGGGAUGAAAGCCUGUGGCUCAACCACAGAAUUGCCUUCGAUACUGUCGAGCUUGAGACCGGAAGAGGUAAGUGGAACUGCGAGUGUAGAGGUGAAAUUCGUAGAUAUUCGCAAGAACACCAGUGGCGAAGGCGGCUUACUGGUCCGGUUCUGACGCUGAGGCGCGAAAGCGUGGGGAGCAAACAGG